rnacentral:rRNA from 1 species
GCCUACGGCCAUACCACCCUGAGAACGCCCGAUCUCGUCUGAUCUCGGAAGCUAAGCAGGGUCGGCCCGGUUAGUACUUGGAUGGGAGACCGCCUGGGAAUACCGGGUGCUGUAGGCU